AUUACUGUUAGGCGCAGCAGAGCACAGUUUGUAGUGAUGCUGGGACUGGGAGCUGGAGCGCUAGCAGCCUAACUGCCUGAGUGAGUGCCUUCACCCAAGGCCUGCAGUGUACUUUGAUUUUUUUGGAGUGUACUUACAAACAGUCCUUGAUCACCACUAAAACCAACAGUGUUCUUCACCCUUCGGAGUGGACUUCAGAAUAGCCCUACAUUUUCACCCAAGCUUAUGGUGUUAUACGAUCCUUUGGACUAGACUUGGGAAUACUUAAUUAGGUCUACAUCUUCUGCAGCUGUCCUCUGACAGAGAUUUUCACAUUGAUUAUUGAAAAGUAGACUUUUAAAACAUUGAAGACAUCU